rnacentral:rRNA from 1 species
GCAGUCGAACGAUGAUGCCAGCUUGCUGGUGGAUUAGUGGCGAACGGGUGAGUAACACGUGAGUAACCUGCCCUUGACUCUGGGAUAAGCCUGGGAAACUGGGUCUAAUACCGGAUAUGACCUUCCAUCGCAUGGUGGUUGGUGGAAAGCUUUUGUGGUUUUGGAUGGACUCGCGGCCUAUCAGCUUGUUGGUGGGGUAAUGGCCUACCAAGGCGACGACGGGUAGCCGGCCUGAGAGGGUGACCGGCCACACUGGGACUGAGACACGGCCCAGACUCCUACGGGAGGCAGCAGUGGGGAAUAUUGCACAAUGGGCGAAAGCCUGAUGCAGCGACGCCGCGUGAGGGAUGACGGCCUUCGGGUUGUAAACCUCUUUCAGUAGGGAAGAAGCGUAAGUGACGGUACCUGCAGAAGAAGCGCCGGCUAACUACGUGCCAGCAGCCGCGGUAAUACGUAGGGCGCAAGCGUUAUCCGGAAUUAUUGGGCGUAAAGAGCUCGUAGGCGGUUUGUCGCGUCUGCCGUGAAAGUCCGGGGCUCAACUCCGGAUCUGCGGUGGGUACGGGCAGACUAGAGUGAUGUAGGGGAGACUGGAAUUCCUGGUGUAGCGGUGAAAUGCGCAGAUAUCAGGAGGAACACCGAUGGCGAAGGCAGGUCUCUGGGCAUUAACUGACGCUGAGGAGCGAAAGCAUGGGGAGCGAACAGGAUUAGAUACCCUGGUAGUCCAUGCCGUAAACGUUGGGCACUAGGUGUGGGGGACAUUCCACGUUUUCCGCGCCGUAGCUAACGCAUUAAGUGCCCCGCCUGGGGAGUACGGCCGCAAGGCUAAAACUCAAAGGAAUUGACGGGGGCCCGCACAAGCGGCGGAGCAUGCGGAUUAAUUCGAUGCAACGCGAAGAACCUUACCAAGGCUUGACAUGAACCGGACCGCUGCAGAAAUGUGGUUUCCCCUUUGGGGCUGGUUUACAGGUGGUGCAUGGUUGUCGUCAGCUCGUGUCGUGAGAUGUUGGGUUAAGUCCCGCAACGAGCGCAACCCUCGUUCUAUGUUGCCAGCACGUGAUGGUGGGGACUCAUAGGAGACUGCCGGGGUCAACUCGGAGGAAGGUGGGGACGACGUCAAAUCAUCAUGCCCCUUAUGUCUUGGGCUUCACGCAUGCUACAAUGGCCGGUACAAAGGGUUGCGAUACUGUGAGGUGGAGCUAAUCCCAAAAAGCCGGUCUCAGUUCGGAUUGGGGUCUGCAACUCGACCCCAUGAAGUCGGAGUCGCUAGUAAUCGCAGAUCAGCAACGCUGCGGUGAAUACGUUCCCGGGCCUUGUACACACCGCCCGUCAAGUCACGAAAGUUGGUAACACCCGAAGCCGGUG